ensembl:snRNA U6 U6 spliceosomal RNA
GUGCUCGCUUCGGCAGCACAUACUAAAAUUGGACCAAUACAGAGAUGAGCAUGACCCAUGCCUAAGGAUGACACGCAAAUUCGUGAGGCGUUCCAUAUUUUU